rnacentral:rRNA from 1 species
ACCGGCGGCUCGAGUGGUGGCCACUAUUAUUGGGCUUAAAGCGUUCGUAGCUGGCUUGUUAAGUCUCUGGGGAAAUCUUUCGGCUUAACCGGAAGGCUUCUCUGGGAUACUGGCAGGCUAGGGACCGGAAGAGGUGAGAGGUACUCCAGGGGUAGGAGUGAAAUCCUGUAAUCCUUGGGGGACCACCUGUGGCGAAGGCGUCUCACCAGAACGGCUCCGACGGUGAGGAACGAAAGCGGGGGGAGCAAACCG